GGCUAGUAUAGCUCAAUUGGUAGAGCAGCUGAUUUGUAAUCAGCAGGCUAUGGGUUCAACUCCCUUUACUAGCUU
rnacentral:tRNA from 1 species